rnacentral:lncRNA from 1 species
UUGGUUUUUUUUUAAAGGACACAGAGACACGAAGAACAGGAAACAACCUCACAGGCACUGACGUCCACAUCUGGAGAGGCUGAGCUGCCAGCAAAAACUCUUUGUCUACGAACGGUACACCUAUAGAGACAAGCCUUUUUCUCCCAAGACUGACCAGGGUGACCAUGAAGAACACAAGCCUGAACCUGCCCCAGGCCAGCUGAUAGGGUGACUGACUUACCUGGGAUACAAUGAGUACCUGCUGCAACUAAGCCACUCCAGCUCCCAGCCCUGAUCGCUUCAGCACCAUUUUCUUGGAUUAAAUGGAGUUUGACCUCAUAGUCACUGUGUAUCAGAGGUGAGGUUAGACCAGUGCAGGUAAAAUGGGAACCGGCCAGCUGCCUUGC